rnacentral:rRNA from 1 species
AUUGAACGCUGGCGGCAUGCCUUACACAUGCAAGUCGAACGGUAACAGGUCUUCGGAUGCUGACGAGUGGCGAACGGGUGAGUAAUACAUAGGAACGUGCCUAGUAGUGGGGGAUAACUACUCGAAAGAGUGGCUAAUACCGCAUGAGAUCUACGGAUGAAAGCAGGGGAUCGCAAGGCCUUGUGCUACUAGAGCGGCCGAUGGCAGAUUAGGUAGUUGGUGGGAUAAAAGCUUACCAAGCCGACGAUCUGUAGCUGGUCUGAGAGGACGAUCAGCCACACUGGGACUGAGACACGGCCCAGACUCCUACGGGAGGCAGCAGUGGGGAAUUUUGGACAAUGGGCGCAAGCCUGAUCCAGCAAUGCCGCGUGCAGGAUGAAGGCCUUCGGGUUGUAAACUGCUUUUGUACGGAACGAAAAGCCCCGGGUUAAUACCCUGGGGUCAUGACGGUACCGUAAGAAUAAGCACCGGCUAACUACGUGCCAGCCGCCGCUGUAACAC